UUGAUCCUGGCUCAGGAUGAACGCUGGCGGCGUGUCUAAGGCAUGCAAGUCGAUUGUUCCGCAAGGGACAAGGCAAACGGGAGCGUAACACAUUGGUAACCUACCUCGAAGACGGGCAUAACUCCGCGAAAGUGGAAAUAAUUCCCGAUAAAAAUGGGGGGCCGCAUGGCAUUCCCAUUUAAAACUCCGGCGCUU
rnacentral:rRNA from 1 species